AUCAUUUGAUGUUAAAACUGAGGUGGUAUAGGAUGGGCAUGCGUCUGAUUAGUUAGUUGCGGGUAAUGGCCCACCAAGACGAUGAUCAGUAGGGGUUCUGAGAGGAAGAUCCCCCCACACUGGCACUGAGAUACGGGCCAGACUCCUACGGGAGGCAGCAGUAGGGAAUAUUGGUCAAUGGAUGCAAGUCUGAACCAGCCAUGCCGCGUGCAGGAAGAAGGCCUUCUGGGUUGUAAACUGCUUUUGCCAGGGAUAAAAUUUCCAUGCGUGGAAAACUGAAGGUACCUGGUGAAUAAGCCACGGCUAACUACGUG
rnacentral:rRNA from 1 species